rnacentral:rRNA from 1 species
ACGUACCGUCCAAACGUUAUUCGGAAUUACUGGGCUUAAAGGGUACGUAGGCGGCGCUGUUAGUCGGGUGUGAAAUCCCUCGGCUCAACCGAGGAAUUGCGCCCGAUACUGCAGUGCUUGAGGGAGACAGAGGUAAGCGGAACUGAUGGUGGAGCGGUGAAAUGCGUUGAUAUCAUCAGGAACACCGGUGGCGAAGGCGGCUUACUGGGUCUCUUCUGACGCUGAGGUACGAAAGCUAGGGGAGCGAAGGGGAUUAGAUACCCCCGUAGUCCUAGCUGUAAACGUUGAGCACUUGAUCGGGGAUCCCCCCAUAGGUUCCCGGUCGUAGCGAAAGUGUUAAGUGCUCCGCCUGGGGAGUAUGGUCGCAAGGCUG